rnacentral:snRNA from 1 species
AUACUUACCUGGCAGGGGAGACACCAUGAUCGGGCAGGUGGUUUUCCCAGGGCGAGGCUCAUCCCUUGCACUCCGGGUGUGCUGACCCCUAAAAUUAGUUCAGUGCCUGAAGGGGCUACAAGGAAGCUGGGGGGGACUUUUUACAAGGGCCUGUA